GCAAAAAAUCCGAAAGUGAACGAAAAUAGCCGAUGUCUAAUUGAAAAAAUAAAUUUUGAUUUUUGAAGAUCUGAAAAGUUCUAAGCUUUGAACUUUUGGUUUUUUUGAAGGAGUUGAGGAAACAUAGCUAUAUUUCAGAAACAGGAUCAUCCUGCAUCAGCCUAUUAUUAGCUACUCGAAGCUUCGAAAGCUUUCAAGAAAAACUUGAUCUCGAUCGUGUGAUCGAUCAAAGUUCGCAUUGUAAUGAGAUCGAGAUGAAGAACUGAUCGAUCAUUCAUUAUUGAAUUUACUACAGAAGAAGUUUUGAGUACAGGAAAACAUCAGGGCAGAAGAUUCAUGAAUUUCCACCCAGACGAACGAUUUGAAUUCGUCUCAUCGAAUUAAUUUUCCUGUCAAAAGUUCAGUUCCAUGAGGGCAAACGUGCUUUCCAAACACUAAAAAAGCUAUUCAGCGAUUACCUAUUCAACAUAUAUAAGAUGCUGCUGGAAAACUCAUGCUGAUGAAUUUUGAACCAGAUUGAUCGAAACAUUACAAAGAGAUAAUCAUUUCACGUUUUUAACCUAUAAAACAAUCUGCUCUUGUCCUCAUCUUUACAGAAUUAGCUAUCUAAUUCGAUGCUAAAUUUGGCAAGAAUUUGAAUCCGUGUUCGUAGCAUUUGUUGGAAUUUCCUGACUUGAAGAAAUGAGACAAUUUACUCGAUUUGAUCAUGACAACUGAUUUAAACUUCGUUGAAUUUUACUGUUUAGUAUUAUCUGUUCUCAUACCUAUGUGGUUUUUUUUUAAAUUAUGGAGUUGGUUAGGAUGGGAAUUGUUUAAGAAUAACUAACUACGUUGACUUUUUUCCACUAAUACGUUAGAGAUUGUUCGGUGACUGGAAUAAUAAACCAUUAAAUUUCGUUA